UUUAAGUUGGACCUUUUUUUGGUCAUUUUUCCUACGCAGCUAUCAAUUACUUACAGGUGUUUAACGGUGAUUGUUGAUUAAAUAAAAUAAAAAAUUAAAAAUAUUUCAUUAACAAUCUUACAGGUGUAAAAAUGUAGCCGGUGCUAAAAUUAAAAUCUAUAUGAAUGAUGACUUGUAUUGUGCUAGUUGAGCUUAAAUGCUGAUUAAAUACAAAGAAUGUAAAUGAUUUUCUUUUGUUAAACAUCCCAGGGUUUGUUCAUGUGUAAUAAAUGUCGAUUUAAAUUUAGUGAUAUUUUAGGAACUUCUUGUGUGUAUACAAAAAAUAGACCUAAUGGCAAAUUAAACUUUUAUAAAACCUUUUUCUUUUUCUUUUUUUUGCUGUAAGUUUGAAAGCUCUAUUGAUAAAACGUUUGUUGUGAAGAACCAGAUUGUCUAGGAUUGAGUUUAGCUGUUUUAAUGCAUACUAUUGUUGAAACAGUUGAGGCUACUGCAGAAGAGGUCAUUUACACCGAGCCGACAUUCAACAGAGCAAACACAGAGGAAUCGAAUGUUAAAGAGGAGAGUUAUGUGGAAUAUGCACCAAUAACGAUGAGGUGAUCAAACGUCAAUGUUUUUCUUUGUACGAGACCCAGAUUGUCAUCAUUUUUACCAGAAACCUCCUGAAACGAUUCAAUGGUUGAGUUUUGAGAUUGUGAAAAUCACCACAUGUUGCAUCCGGUCUCCUGAAACGUCAAAAGCCUUUACCUUGUAAUACAAGGACCUUUAAUGAAUGAUGUAACACGUAUUGGAGCAUUUUCAGUUUUUACUCUUAAAGUCAAAAGUGCAAAACAUAGAUGCAAACUAUUCAUCAAAAGGAAUGGAGACCCUGCUGUGGUAUCGAUUAUCUGCAACAAAAUGUGGUUUGAUCUGCUGGUAAACAAACAGGUUGUGCAUGAGAAUGUGCCUACCGCUGGACGUUUAUGUUUGAUGUCUGUUCGUGAGAGUAUCUGAGGUGUGAAAAGUGUUUCUGUGUCAAUCAUGUGUGGUUGAAGGGCCUUUUCACUGCAUACUCAGGCAGUGAUCCUGUAGUUAAGCAGAGCUAGUUUCAGUAGUUAUUUCCAGCUCAAGACUUCUUUCUAAGCAGAACUAUUCUUAUAAAGGUCAUAUCCCGUUUUCUUUUUUUGUUGCUUUUUUUCGACCAAUGUCUGGGACAUUUAAAGAAAAACAUGUAGCAUGAUUAUUUAUGACAAUUUAUGAUUUAUGUUUGAUGUAUUUGGUUUUCAUCAGUUUUGAGGAGAAACUAAACAAUGCUAACAAACUUGAUUCAAUUUUGACUACUUUUUUUUUAGCAUGGCAGGGCUCCUGUGUAAAAACUAAAUAUUAACCAGUUCCUAUGUUGUUUGUUAGUACAGUUAACAAGGAAUAAAAUGCAAAGAAUGAAAUAUUUAAAAAUGUGUUGAAUUGUUGUGAAACGUAAUUUUUUGAUAAAUCAUGAAUGGCCCACUUUACUGCAAAAUAAAUUUGCCUGGAGGGCAUGAGCUUGAAAUGUGUAUUGGUAUAUAUCUUGCAAUAAAUAUUAUAGCUGGA